UACGAAGGGGGCUAGCGUUGUUCGGAAUUACUGGGCGUAAAGCGCGCGCAGGCGGUCUUCCAAGUCAGUGGUGAAAGCCCGGAGCUCAACUCCGGAACUGCCAUUGAAACUGUUAGACUUGAGGACGAGAGAGGUGAGUGGAAUUCCCAGUGUAGAGGUGAAAUUCGUAGAUAUUAGGAAGAACACCGGUGGCGAAGGCGGCCCACUGGUCCGGUACUGACGCUGAGGUGCGAAAGCGUGGGGAGCAAACAGGA
rnacentral:rRNA from 1 species